rnacentral:rRNA from 1 species
UACGUAGGGUGCAAGCGUUGUCCGGAAUUAUUGGGCGUAAAGAGCUCGUAGGCGGUUUGUCGCGUCGGCUGUGAAAACCCGAGGCUCAACCUCGGGCCUGCAGUCGAUACGGGCAAACUAGAGUGUGGGUAGGGGGAAGACUGGAAUUCCUGGUGUAGCGGUGAAAUGCGCAGAUAUCAGGAGGAACACCGGCGGCGAAGGCGGGUCUCUGGGCCAUAACUGACGCUGAGGAGCGAAAGCGUGGGGAGCAAACAGG